rnacentral:rRNA from 1 species
GACGGAGGGUGCAAGCGUUGCUCGGAAUCACUGGGCGUAAAGCGCGUGUAGGCGGCCCGACAAGUCGAGUGUGAAAGCCCGAGGCUCAACUUCGGAAGUGCAUUCGAAACUGUCGGACCUGAGUACGGGAGAGGGAAGUGGAAUUCCUGGUGUAGAGGUGAAAUUCGUAGAUAUCAGGAGGAACACCGGUGGCGAAGGCGGCUUCCUGGACCGAUACUGACGCUGAGACGCGAAAGCGUGAGGAG